CUCUGGUUGGAGGUCCCUCCUUGGUGGAGCUUUUUGCUGUGAACCUGGAAUCUUCUGAUACAGGUGGGAGAUCCGCAGUCUAUUCACCUGUUUCUCACACGGAUGUCAUUUCAUACCCUUCAUCAUCUCCCCUGCCCGGUUCUGUUUUCUUCCCAGUUUUACAACAGCCUUUCUGAGAUGGGGAGAUCAGGAUUGCAGAGAACAUUCAAGAAGUGAAUACGCCGUGGGUUUACACAGCAGCACAGAGGAAUCUCCAUAUCCAAUUAAGAGUGGGGGACACCACAAAGGUCUACAGUGGUCACCAGGGAUGCAUGUCAGGCAUGUGCAGCAUGUUAUGGAAUCAUCUGCAAGGAGAUAGAAGACCAUGCAGAAACAAAGACAACCCCAGAGAAAGGUUCCCCAUUGCAGUGCUGGGCAGUGCAUGCUCCCUAGAUCUGCUCCAUGAUGCUCUGAGGUUGUAAUUGUGGCAAUCUUGGGUGUGUUUUAUUCUGAUUUCCUACGGACAGCAUAGAUAAACACAAAAUGAGGGAAGCCUGAAGUUCAGGCCUCUGAGCAUUCCCAAAUGCCCAAAGAAGAGAAGACCUGAAGUUUAUUGUUGUUUCUUUCUGCCCUUCUCAAACACCUCAUGCUCCAACUCAGCAGCAACUUGGUGUGCUUAAAGCACGUUAUACCAAACUUAAGGGAAAGUACUUACAACUCGUGAACUUGCUUUGAGUUUGGGCACCAAUGUCUGGUAUUCAGAAGGAUUUCAAACACAUCUGAAGUCGUGACUCUUCCCUUCAGAGUCUGACAGUGGUAUUAAUGCAGUUCUCCCCACCAUGUAAU
rnacentral:lncRNA from 1 species